ensembl:misc_RNA Metazoa_SRP Metazoan signal recognition particle RNA
GCCAGGCAUGGUGGCGUGUGCCUGUAGUCCCAGCUACUCAGGAGGCUGAGGUGGGAGAAUCGCUUGAGCCCGGGAGGCGGAGGUUGCAGUGAGCCAAGAUCGCACCACUGCACUCUAGCCUGGGCAACAGAGCAAUAUUCCGUCUCAA